rnacentral:lncRNA from 1 species
CGGGGAGUUGAUAGUCAUCGCACCGUGAAGAAGAGGAAAGACCCAAGACCUAAUACCUAAGAUCCAAGACCGGCGAAAGGUUUAGAAGUACAAAGACCACUGGAGGUGCAACGACUUUGAGGAGGUAACAAGGAUAGUUACGUUCCGAGACAAGUCUUGUUAUUUACAUUUAUAGUGAGGAGGUAACGAAGAGUUGCGCUCCAAGAUAUAUAUUUGUAAAGGCUUCUCCGCCUACUGUAAAGGAGUUCUUUAUAGUAGAGAAAAUCUCGAGUCCGGGGAGGAGCUCGGGGACUGGACUAGGGGUGAGUGGACUCCAAGGGUUGAGUUAGCCACCGCGAACCAGGAUAAAAUCGCUCGUGUGAUAUUUUCCUUUUCUUUUCUUACACUUCCGAACGUAACUGCCAAUACUCUCGAUACAAGUUCUAAAGAAGGGGUGAAAACUUUUUAAAACGACAUAAAUAUUUUUAAUUGGUGAUUAAGCUAUUCAACCCCCCCCUUCUAGCUUAAUUAAAC